AAUAUUGCACAAUGGAGGAAACUCUGAUGCAGCGACGCCGCGUGAGUGAAGAAGGUCUUCGGAUCGUAAAACUCUGUCCUUGGUGAAGAUAAUGACGGUAGCCAAGAAGAAAGCCCCGGCUAACUACGUGCCAGCAGCCGCGGUAAUACGUAGGGGGCGAGCGUUGUCCGGAAUUACUGGGCGUAAAGGGUGCGUAGGCGGCCCUUUAAGUCAGAUGUGAAAGGCCACGGCUUAACCGUGGAACUGCAUUUGAAACUGGAGGGCUUGAGUGUCGGAGAGGGUAGUGGAAUUCCCAGUGUAGCGGUGAAAUGCGUAGAUAUUGGGAGGAACACCAGUGGCGAAGGCGACUACCUGGACGAUAACUGACGCUGAGGCACGAAAGCUAGGGGAGCAAAC
rnacentral:rRNA from 1 species